rnacentral:rRNA from 1 species
GACAGAGGGUGCAAACGUUGUUCGGAAUUACUGGGCGUAAAGCGCGUGUAGGCGGCCAUGCAAGUCGGAUGUGAAAGCCCUCGGCUCAACCGGGGAAGUGCACUCGAAACUGCAAGGCUAGAGUCUCGGAGAGGAUCGUGGAAUUCUCGGUGUAGAGGUGAAAUUCGUAGAUAUCGAGAGGAACACCGGUGGCGAAGGCGGCGAUCUGGACGAUGACUGACGCUGAGACGCGAAAGCGUGGGGAGCAACAGG